rnacentral:rRNA from 1 species
GAGUUUGAUCCUGGCUCANGAUGAACGCUAGCGGCAGGCUUAACACAUGCAAGUCGAGGGGUAACAGGGAGAGCUUGCUUUCCGCUGACGACCGGCGCACGGGUGCGUAACGCGUAUGCAACCUACCUCAUACAGGGGGAUAGCCCGAAGAAAUUCGGAUUAAUACCCCAUGGUAAUGUAAUAUCACAUGGUAUAACAUUUAAAGAUUUAUCGGUAUGAGAUGGGCAUGCGUUAGAUUAGCUAGUUGGAGAGGUAACGGCUCACCAAGGCUACGAUCUAUAGGGGGCCUGAGAGGGUGAUCCCCCACACUGGUACUGAGACACGGACCAGACUCCUACGGGAGGCAGCAGUGAGGAAUAUUGGUCAAUGGAGGCAACUCUGAACCAGCCAUGCCGCGUGAAGGAUGAAGGCGUUCUGCGUUGUAAACUUCUUUUAUUUGGGAAGAAACCCUUCUACGUGUAGAAGGCUGACGGUACCAAACGAAUAAGCACCGGCUAACUCCGUGCCAGCAGCCGCGGUAAUACGGAGGGUGCAAGCGUUAUCCGGAAUCAUUGGGUUUAAAGGGUCCGCAGGCGGUAUUAUAAGUCAGUGGUGAAAGCCUACAGCUUAACUGUAGAACUGCCAUUGAAACUGUAGUACUUGAAUUCGGUCGAAGUUGGCGGAAUAUGUAGUGUAGCGGCGAAAUGCUUAGAUAUUACAUAGAACACCUAUAGCGAAGGCAGCUAACUAGUCCUGGAUUGACGCUGAG